rnacentral:lncRNA from 1 species
GUGCUCCAGGCUCCGGAAGCUCCAGCAGCCCCAGAGAUGAGGGUGGUCUGCCCCCCCACACUCCCUGCCCCAGCCCAUCCUGGACCUUCUCCUGACACACAGCAAACCACACUUAGCUGUCAUUGAUGAAUCGGAGCCUCUGCCAGACAGCCGGCCAAGCCGACGCUAACUCACCCCACAGCCUGAAAUAGAAACUCGCUCGUUUUCCAGUGUGUGACAAAGAAGGAAGAGGACAUCAACUGGGAGUGGCCCAGAAGCCCGAAGCUGA